rnacentral:rRNA from 1 species
CCGCGUGAGUGAUGAAGGUCUUCGGAUCGUAAAGCUCUGUGGGAAGGGGACGAAAAAGCGUGACCUAAUACGUCUCGCCUUGACGGUACCUUCUUAGCAAGCACCGGCUAACUCCGUGCCAGCAGCCGCGGUAAUACGGAGGGUGCAAACGUUGCUCGGAAUUAUUGGGCGUAAAGCGCAUGUAGGCGGUCCGCUAAGUCGGAUGUGAAAGCCCUCGGCUUAACCGAGGAAGUGCAUCCGAAACUGGCGGGCUAGAGUACGGAAGAGGGUUUCGGAAUUCCCGGUGUAGAGGUGAAAUUCGUAGAUAUCGGGAGGAACACCAGUGGCGAAGGCGGAAACCUGGGCCGAUACUGACGCUGAGAUGCGAAAGCGUGGGGAGCAAACAGGAUUAGAUACCCUGGUAGUCCACGCCGUAAACGAUGAGCGCUAGGUGUUGGGGGUAUUGACCCCCCCAGUACCGCAGCUAACGCGUUAAGCGCUCCGCCUGGGGAGUACGGCCGCAAGGCUAAAACUCAAAGGAAUUGACGGG